rnacentral:rRNA from 1 species
UACAGAGGUCCCAAGCGUUGUUCGGAUUCACUGGGCGUAAAGGGUGCGUAGGUGGUAAGGCAAGUCAGGUGUGAAAUCUCCGGGCUCAACCCGGAAUGGCAUUCGAAACUACCUUGCUAGAGGGUUUGAGGGGGGACUGGAAUACUUGGUGUAGCAGUGAAAUGCGUAGAUAUCAAGUGGAACACCAGUGGCGAAGGCGAGUCCCUGGAAAACUCC